rnacentral:rRNA from 1 species
AGCUCCAGUAGCGUAUAUUAAAGUUGUUGCAGUUAAAAAGCUCGUAGUUGGAUUUCUGGUCUGGCGCGUUUGGCCCGCUCCGGUUACGGAUGUGAGUGCAAUGCGCGCCUGCCAUCCUUCUAGAAAACGUUUCUACCCUUCAUUGGGCCGGAUUCGCAAUCUAGAUCUUUUACUUUGAAAAAAUUAGAGUGUUUAAAGCAGGCUUGUGCUAUGAAUACAUUAGCAUGGAAUAAUAAUUUAGGACUUUGGUUCUAUUUUGUUGGUUUCUAGAACCGAAGUAAUGAUUGAUAGGGAUAGUUGGGGGUGCUAGUAUUCAGCGGCCAGAGGUGAAAUUCUUGGAUUCGCUGAAGACUAACUUAUGCGAAAGCAUUCACCAAGGAUGUCUUCUUUAAUCAAGAAC